CUAUACUGGCACAGGCAGUUCAAUAUUUAAUAAUACAGUAUACUAAUUAGUCAUUCUUGGAUUUCAUUGAUCAAAGGAUAAAAGAUUUCAAGGAUAAAACGCGGAUACGGACGGACGGACGGAUGGCGGACGGAUGGCGGAUGGACGGACGGAUGGCGGACGGAUGGCGGACGGACGGACGGACGGACGGGGGACACAAGCGGAUGGAUGGGGGAUCAAAUCCGCGUUUUUU